CGGUGUGAAGGAAUAAAAGAAGUAAUCCCUACUUCUUUAUCUCUUACUUUCUACCUUUCUUUAUGCUUACUUAAUGUGUAUGGCAUGCAUGGUUGUUAUGUGGAUAUUGUGCAUGGGUGUGUGUUGAUUGUGUAUGUUGCCUUGCGUGGGAUUGGAGGCUUGGUUGCUUGUUGAUGCGGCUGGCCAUUUGUUGUUGGUUGUUUGAGGCGCAUUGUGUUGAUGCUUGCUUGCCUUGUGCGUGAGGUUACUUGUUGCUUGUGGUAGCUUGAGUUGGAUGCGGCCAUUGUGACUCAUUGGGAGAUUGGGUUGUUGUUGCCGUGUGACUCUUGUUGCUUGUGUUGAGUGAUUCGGCCAUUGUUGAGUUUGGGUGUUAACUUGUUGCCGUGGGAGACUCCUGUGUGUGUGGUGUUUGAGGUCAUUGCCGUGAGCAUCCUUGUGACUUGUGUGUGUGAUCUUUGGUUGCUUGGUUGCUGGAGUUUGCGGCUGGCCAUUGUAGUUCCAUUGUGGGACUUGUUGCCGUGAGCAUUCCUUGGAACACUUGGUGUUUGGAGUUCUUGCAAGUUGCCGUGAGCUUCCUUUGUAACUCUUGGUGUUGGAUUUGUUGGCAUUGCAACUUGUUGCCGUGAACUUUGGGGUGGCUCGUGUUGGGUCAUUGCGUGAGGAUCCUUGUGACACUUAGUACGCGGCCAAAUUGAUACUGAACUUGCAACUUGGAUCAAUUUGUUACGAAUUUGGAAACUGAGACAUAUGGCAUAGUAGAGGUGUAUGAAGGUUGGCAAAUUGGAAUGAGAAGUUACAUUUUAGUUCUUGAUACUUCAUAAAAUAAUAAUAAUUAAGUUUUCAAGAAUUUUUUCAAAGAAAAUAUAUUUUUUAAAAAAUAUUUUUGAUAUUUGAAUUGUUGAAUAUUUAUUGAAUUUGUUGAUUUUGAUUUUCAAUUUUUAAGGUGAAAUUGGGAGACUAAAAAAUGAAUUGAUGGUCAUUUUUUCUUUUAAUUUUUAAUUGAAUUUUUUUGUCAUUUUUUUGGUUUUUUAGAAGGAAAAACAUAGAGAUGGAUGGGAUAAGGGAGAAGUAAUAAACUGUAGCUUCUAUAAAUUUUUGGGACCAAAUUGUAAAAUGUCAAAUUUGAUCUGUGGUGCAUGUGACACACAUUCUAUUUUUGUGCCAAAGUGAUCCAAUAUGCCAAGGUCAAUGUCAAUUUGGUCGCAAGAGUGCCAAAUACAAUGGCCAAAUUGGCCUUUUAUCCCAUGUUCAUAGGUCUUGUUUUUCCCAGAUUAUUAGCCUUUGUUUUGAAGUGAAAAUCUUAUUCUUAUCAUAUGAAAGCAAAAUUUGCAAUAGAUUCAACUGCCUUUGGCUUCUUAAUGCAUGUAGAACUGCUUUUGAAGCUGCCUUCCGCCAGAUGUAUUCCUUACCAUCCCAUCUUGAUUUUCUUCCCCCCAUGCCAGAAGAUGGAGGUCACUGGUCUGCCCUGCAUAGUUGG
rnacentral:misc_RNA from 1 species